rnacentral:tmRNA from 1 species
GGGGCUGACCGGUUUUGACAGCGUGUAGAGGUGGUGUGGAAGCAUGCAGAGCCAUGAUGGAAGGUGCUCUUUAAACCCCGACAUCGACUUUUUUAAAUGGCGAAAAUAACUACGCUCUUGCUGCUUAAUCGAAGUACAGUAGAUUAGCUUAAUCGCUGCAACAGUUGCGGCGACAAGACAUCGCCCGGUUGUCCUGGUCCCGAGACUAAUCGACAAGGCGGUGCAGAUAAAUCGGGAAUAGCUCCGAACCGGCCUCGGGUGAAGAGCGAAAUCUUAGAGGAUAAGGCCGUGGUUGGAGGUCUUUAGCCUGCCACAGCCCGACAUCCAAGUAAAGACUAAGCAUGUAGAAACCACAUUAGUUCCGCGUUUGGACGAGGGUUCGAACCCCUCCAGCUCCAC